rnacentral:rRNA from 1 species
AAUGGGGCCCCUGGCCUAGAUGGUAUUUCUUUUUUCUUUUACCAACAUUUUUGGGAGCUGGUCAAGAAAGACCUGAUGGCCAUGUUUGAAGUCUUCCAUAAUGAAGAACUUGCCAUCCACAGGCUUAACUUUGCCAUGUUGGCCCUUAUCCCAAAGGAGGCUGAUGCUUCUUGUAUGAGGAAAUUUAAACCAAUCAGCCUGCUUAAUUGUAGUUUUAAGAUCUUUACUAAAGUCCUUACUAAUAGACUAUCUAGGAUUCUCCAAAUACUCAUAGCUAGUAAUCAAUCCGCCUUUUUGAAAGGAAGAUACAUUUUGGAAAGUCUGGUCACAGCUUAUGAGGUGCUACACUCCAUCCACUCUAGCAAAAGAUAG